UUCACUUCCUAUGUGGACUUUGCUGCUGAGUCAGUGUGAGACCUUGAACAAGUCUCUGUUUGUUUCGUACCAUUCAGAUUUCCUCGUCUGUAAACAUUAAGUAUCUACAUUCACUAAAAGUAGUUCUGAAUGAAUGUUAUUUAAUGGUGCCAAUGAUGUUGGAGGAUACCUGUGCAUCUCAUGCUGUGGUUACAGCAUCAAUUGUGAUGAAUAUAGGAUACUGAGUCCCUCCUAGAAAUGACUUCAGGAACUUCACCCCCCAACUCCACAAUCUGGGAAUGGCAGACAGAUUCAGCACCAGGAGAACAUCACAUAAAGGACAAGUGUGUAUGUUUAAAAAUGGCAAGUUUCGGCCUGGCAUGGUGGCUCACGUCUAUAAUCCCAGCACUUUGGGAGGCUGAGGUAGGUGAAUCACGAAGUCAGAAGGUCGAGACAAUCCUGACCAACAUGGUGAAACCUUGUCUCUACUAAAAAUACAAAAAUUAGCUGGGUGUGGUGGCUCACACCUGACUCGGGAGGCUGAGGCAGGAGAAUUGCUUGAACCCAGGAGGCAGAGGCUGCAGUGAGCCGAGAUUGCUCGCUGCACUCCAGCCUGGUGAGAGUGAGAUUCCGUCUAGAAAAAAAAAAAAAAAAAAAGACAAGUUUCUGCUUGACUUAUAAGACCUAAUCCAAUGUAUUUCUAAAUCAAAUAACAGAUAGAUGAAGGCAUUUUUAAAGCAAUUAUCUCAGGUUUUCAAAACAGGUUUAAGAAUGCGGUAUCAAAGCCUGGACUAGGUUUCAAUAUUUCAGUAUUUACAGAUGACGUCUCAGAAAACAAAGAAGCCGUUAUUGACAAGUGCUUUCCAGGCCAAAGGCAAGUGCCAGGGAGUAUAGUGACAGUGGAUUUGCUGCCAAACUGAUGAUUUUUUCUUGUUUUCUUUUCAGCCCUAUUUGUCCUGGGCUCGGAAUGUUGAUGCAGCUAUUUCUAUUUGGUUAUGGGUAAGGAAACGCUGCAUUUAUCACUGUGCCUACGUUUUCCUUCAAAGAGGCACGUGUAACUGUGUUCAAUUGCAACUGAGAGCGUAUUUUAAAAAGGAAUUUGGCUUCAAUGUCAUUAACUGACCUUAAAUAAAUUGCUUGUGAGAUUUUACAAUAUUAAACUUAGCUCAGAAGAAAUGCUGAAAUUAGUAAAUAAUGAUUUUUAAGAACUUAUAUAUGUCAUCUUUUAAAAAACCUGCUACUUCAAAUAACUUCAAAGUGAGGAAAAGCUUUUAUCAGCUUUAGAGUUAAAAUGCAGAUGUUAAUCGCAGGUUAGGAUCUUGAUAAUUUCUAAAAAGACAAAUGCAGCAUUAUUUGUAAAAGUACAUACAGUCGUGUACAGCAUAACAACGUUUUGUUCAACGAAGGACCACAUAUACCAUGGUGAUCCCUCAAGAUUAUAAUGGAGCUGGCAAACUCCUGCCAACUCAUCAGGCAGUCGCCACUGUAAGACUGUAGCAAAAUGCAUUAGUCCUGUGUUCGUGGUGAUGCUUGUGUACACAGACUUACUGCACUGCCAGUCAUAUAAAAAUACAGCACAUACAAUAAGGUAUAGCACAUAAUACCUGACAAUGAUAAUAAAUGAUUAGGUUACUAGUUUAAUAUGCUAUAGUUUUUAUUGUUAUUUUAGAUUGUACUCUUUAUGUUAAUAUAUUAUUAAAAGGUCAGUUGUGAAACAGCUUCAGGCACUUCCUUCAGGAGCUAUCCAGAAAAAGGCAUUGUCAUCAUAGGAGAUGCCAGCUUAAUGCGUGACGUUGCCCCUGAAGACCUUCCAAUGGGGCAAGAAAUGUAGGUGGAAGACAGUGAUAAUGAUCCUGACCCCGUGUAGGUGUAGGCUAUUGUGUGGUUUGUGUUUUAGUUUUUAACAAAAAAGUUUAAAAAUUAAAAAAUUAAACAAUAUAAGAGCGCUUAUAGAAUACGGAUAUAAAAAGAGACAAUAUUUUUGUUCAGCUAUACAGUGGAUUUGUGUUUUCAGUGGAGUGUAAUUACAAGAGUCAGAAAGUUAAAACAAAGUGAAAAGUUUAUACUGUAAAAAAAGUUAUAGUGGGCUAAGGUUAAUUCAUUAUUGAUGAGAGAAAUUUUUUUGUACAUUUUGUGUAGUCUAAGUGUACAGUGCUUGUAAAGUCUGCAGUAGCAUACAGUAAUGUCCAAGGCUUUCACAUCCACUCACCACUCGCUCACUGACCCAGCCAGAGCAACUUCCAGUCCUGAAAGCUGCAUUCAUGACUCAAUCACCACAAUUGCAAUCAAAAGACGGCUUUAGUUGGAACCUGGAACGUGCUAAUCCUGUCAGGCAGCCUGUGAUUCUGGAAGUGAAGGAACAAAAAAAAAAAAAAAAAGGGAAAAUUUCACAUAAAAUUUCCAUAUGAGGAAGAAGAUGGAAACUUUUGUGUUGUGCGUUCAGUAAAACGGGCACUUUCUUAAGCAGGUGGCAAAGAAAGCCUGAGAAUCCGGCCUGACUUUUUCAUUUCAGAACCCUGCAUUUCCCACACAGAGGAGAUAGAGCACAGCCAUUGCAUGGUAGAUCCAGCUUGCUCUCACAGCCAUUGUGCAAAUAAACAUACAUGUGGCAAGGCAGUGCAGUUUUCAGUUGUUAAAAGUUCUGUCAUGCCACGAGAUGGAGCAAAGGAUAAACGCUGAUGUAAACAGGCAACAGGACUCUGACUCCACACCCCUGUCUGCACGGAGGAUGCUCAGUCCUUACACAACAAAAUGUGAGAUGCUUCCAGUCACCUCCUGGCCCUGACCCCUGAGCUCCGUGCUCACCCCACUGGAGGUCCUGGCAGUUCUCCGAGCAGGCUGUACCUGUCUGGGGUGAUCCUCUCCACUUAAUGUUAGACAUUAAGUUCCCUGUGAAAUCUGUUUUGACUCACUGAGGUUAUGAAUAUUUUAUCACAACUAUCAUCAUAUACUACCAAAUCUCCAAUUUUCUUAUCUCCAUUACUAGACUGUGAGCUCCCUGGAGGCUGGACCUGGGUUUGGCACCGAGUGGCACUCAUACAUACUUCUUGAAUAAGAGAAUGUAUGUACACAGUGGCAUGAAAUUGAUUUGAAUUUGUUGGUUUUCUUAAGUGCUAAAGUUGUAGACAGUUCAGUAAAAACUAUAAAGCGGUUACCCUGUAAACCAUGAGUACUAUUAAUUGGAACCUCCUUUCUUACAUAUCCACUUGUGUUUCUGUUAAUGUUUCCAAAAUAAAUAAAGAGCAGGCUAGAGGGAAACCUCCAGUCCUUAGAAACCACGGCACAAGAAUACAUCUGUAUUUGCACUCUGAGCAAGAGACUUCCUGUUGUUGUGUAUGUUUCAUUAAGAGAUCUGGGAAAAAUUAGCCUUGUACCAGGAUCUGAACUAUAGUUUGAAAGUGUUUAGUGGGUACCAAUGUUAAUGGCAUCAUUUUUGAAUGAUAUACAGGAUAUUUUUAAACACUUUCCUUCUGUUCCAUUUUUACACUUUCAUUAUGUUUGCCAGCAUUGGGGAAACCUGGAUUAGAAGCAUGUGCUGCUCUCAGACCUGGCCUACAGAGAAGAACUGACACAGACUUCCUUAGAUGUGUUGUCUUCCUGUCACUGGUGCAUUCCUUAUCAAUGUGAAUCCAAAAUUCUUAUCAAGUUAUCUUCAAUCUAUGCAAGGAAAAUAUUUAUCCCAAAGGAGGAUUUUCAGAAGAUGACACAUGAGGGGCAUUCAUCACAGUCAAGUCUUUUGUUUUGAAAUACGGAAUCUGCAUACCUACUGCUUUCCAAGUUUUGUAAAAAAAAAAGAAGAAAAAAGCAAAAUGCUCUGAGAAUUAUCUAAUUCAUUUUUGCAUAAAGAAUUUCCAUUUUCUAUUUUUCCGUUGUCUAAUUCACUUGCAUAAAGAAUUUUCUUUUUCAUGUUUCAAUUCACAUCUAACAAAUGUUAUCAUACUUUUUC
rnacentral:lncRNA from 1 species